rnacentral:ncRNA from 2 species
UAAUACUGUCAGGUAAUGAUGUC